rnacentral:tRNA from 1 species
GCCGAUGUAGCUCAGUUGGUAGAGCAACGCUUUCGUAAAGCGUAGGUCAGCGGUUCAAGUCCGCUCAUCGGCUCCA